rnacentral:rRNA from 1 species
GAUGAACGCUGGCGGCGUGCCUAAUACAUGCAAGUCGAGCGAACGGACGAGAAGCUUGCUUCUCUGAUGUUAGCGGCGGACGGGUGAGUAACACGUGGAUAACCUACCUAUAAGACUGGGAUAACUUCGGGAAACCGGAGCUAAUACCGGAUAAUAUUUUGAACCGCAUGGUUCAAAAGUGAAAGACGGUCUUGCUGUCACUUAUAGAUGGAUCUGCGCUGCAUUAGCUAGUUGGUAAGGUAACGGCUUACCAAGGCAACGAUGCAUAGCCGACCUGAGAGGGUGAUCGGCCACACUGGAACUGAGACACGGUCCAGACUCCUACGGGAGGCCGCAGUAGGGAAUCUUCCGCAAUGGGCGAAAGCCUGACGGAGCAACGCCGCGUGAGUGAUGAAGGUCUUCGGAUCGUAAAACUCUGUUAUUAGGGAAGAACAUAUGUGUAAGUAACUGUGCACAUCUUGACGGUACCUAAUCAGAAAGCCACGGCUAACUACGUG